UACAGAGGUCUCGAGCGUUAGGCGGAAUCACUGGGCUUAAAGCGUGCGCAGGCGGUUUUGUAAGACUGUCGUGAAAUCCCCGGGCUUAACCUGGGAAUGGCGAUGGUGACUGCAAGGCUAGAGUUUGGCAGAGGGGGGUAGAAUUCCACGUGUAGCAGUGAAAUGCGUAGAUAUGUGGAGGAACACCGAUGGCGAAGGCAGCCCCCUGGGUCAAAACUGACGCUCAUGCACGAAAGCGUGGGGAGCAAACAGG
rnacentral:rRNA from 1 species